rnacentral:lncRNA from 1 species
GAUUACCUGCUUCACCCACAGUAUUGCUAUAACUUUCAACGCAAACGUCCCCCAUAUCACCAAGAGUAGCAUCAUCAUUGUGUAAUGCGACGUUUAUAUCUAAAAAUAUUUUAGAGAUUUAAAUUCCUGAAAUCAGGCAUAUCAUAUGAUUAUUAAGCACACGAUUAUCUCCUUCACAUAGAGGGCUGAUACAACUCUGAUCGCAUAAAUCUUCCAUCUCACCAAGAGUAGCCUCAUCAUUGAUUAAACCAGCAUCUACAUCUUCAAAAGAUCAUAAAAAUAAAGCACCUUCUAAAACAUUGAUGUUUUUCCAAAACAACAGAAGUGUGUAGGCACACCUGAUUCACCUAUCCCC